rnacentral:tRNA from 1 species
GGUGGGUAUAGCUCAGUGGUAGAGCAUAUGCCUAGCAUGCAUGAGGUCCUGGGUUCAAUUCCCAGUACCUCCA